rnacentral:rRNA from 1 species
CCAGGCGUCGAGUGGCGGACGGGUGAGUAAUACUUAGGAAUCUGCCCAUUAGUGGGGGACAACAUUCGGAAACGGAUGCUAAUACCGCAUACGCCCUACGGGGGAAAGCGGGGGAUCUUCGGACCUCGCGCUAAUGGAUGAGCCUAAGCCGGAUUAGCUAGUUGGUAGGGUAAAAGCCUACCAAGGCGACGAUCCGUAGCUGGUCUGAGAGGACGAUCAGCCACACUGGGACUGAGACACGGCCCAGACUCCUACGGGAGGCAGCAGUGGGGAAUAUUGGACAAUGGGGGCAACCCUGAUCCAGCAAUGCCGCGUGUGUGAAGAAGGCCUGCGGGUUGUAAAGCACUUUCAGUAGAGAAGAAAAGCCUAGGGUUAAUAACCCUGAGUCUUGACGUUACCUACAGAAGAAGCUCCGGCUAACUCCGUGCCAGCAGCCGCGGUAAUACGGAGGGAGCGAGCGU